GUGAGGAAGUUAAAACGAUACCAAUCGAGUUUUAGAGCUUUGGUGACCAUUUUAAAAGAAUAUAUGAUAAAUUCAAAGGUAAGUCUAUCGUAUUGCAUUGUCUUAAAUGAAUUCUCAGCUAAAAUACGGCAAUAAAUGGAUCAUAAACUUAGCUAAAUUUACUGUUGACAACGAGGUUGACAGAUCCAUUGCUUUUUUGCCUUGAAUAGCUUUACCAUAGUCAUUUUACCUUAAAAUGUAGCUACCGAGGGUAUCUCUAAGAGAUUUUACACAGAUUAUUUGCACAAUCUCACGAUUUAAUCAUGCUGAUAACAUGAAAAUCCUUGUGCCAUUCUAUACUUGGCAUAAUCUGUACAUCAAUAGUUCACCAGUUCACUAAUAUAAAUUCAAUAUAUUUUUGAACCAGUCCAUAUAUUAUUAUACAAAUGUAGUAUAAUUAAUUUGAUCAUACUUGAGAAGUAAGGGCGUAUUUCAUUACACAGACACUGCUGAAUUUUAGGUUACAUGCCAUUGGAUUGAUAUAUAAAAAACACUUGUAAAACACACACAUUAUCUUGUUGAUAGAAUAGUUAUUUGCAGUAUACUAACUGUUGGCAUACUCUAUUUCAGGACUAUCAAUUGUUUUUGUCACUGGCAGUCUUUGAAAUACAAUCUUGCUCUGUGGCCUUUACUGACAAGUUGACUUUUACUACAUAUGUGGCACUGACACUUCUUUAAUUAACGCACCAGUCAAUGUAAACCCCCCAACCAGGGAGGGGCAGGGAUUUUGACUUGGAGGGGUAGUAAAAAAGCGAAAUUGUCCCCGCCCCCAGGGACGUCAAUGUUCCCUGCAUGUCUCUUAACCCCCAGGAAAAUAGUUUUGUAUAAUCAUAGAUCAGCAAUAGAAAAUCAAAUUCAUUUAUGUUGUUGUAUUUAAACUUUUCUUGUCAAGAAAACUAAAACAGCAACACAGGAUAUAUAUGUUAACCACUGUCGAAGUCUCCCAUCAUCGGGGACAAAUUUAUAAUCAAAACUGACCACUUUCCCUGUUAAACCUUCCGCCCCUCCCCGGUUGGGGGCAAGGAUUUACAUUGACUGGUGCAUAACUAGAUGAUUGCAUGAAGUUGAUUUAUAAUUAGUAUGAAUAAACUCACACUUUCAUUAUAAUGGUUGAUCAAAUAUAUCAUAUGCAUUUGAUUGGUUGAUGGUCCCUUAAUGGUAAUGGUAGUCAAAUCUGAACCUAUAUAAUGUCAAUAUACUGGAAAAGUAUCAAAUUAAAUUUUAAUUGUCAAUGUUGUGGAAAGUAAAUAAAUCAAACAAUUAUGUUUGUUUCAACUAACUAGUUCACUAUCACUUUG
rnacentral:lncRNA from 1 species